AUUGAACGCUGGCGGCAGGCCUAACACAUGCAAGUCGAGCGCGAAAGGCUUUCGGGCUGAGUAGAGCGGCGGACGGGUGAGUAACGCGUAGGAAUCUACCUGGUAGUGGGGGACAACUUGGGGAAACUCAAGCUAAUACCGCAUACGCCCUAUGGGGGAAAGUGGGGGACCUUCGGGCCUCACGCUAUCAGAUGAGCCUGCGUAGGAUUAGCUAGUUGGUGAGGUAAAGGCUCACCAAGGCGACGAUCCUUAGCUGGUCUGAGAGGAUGAUCAGCCACACUGGGACUGAGACACGGCCCAGACUCCUACGGGAGGCAGCAGUGGGGAAUAUUGGACAAUGGGGCGAAAGCCUGAUCCAGCAAUGCCGCGUGAGUGAUGAAGGCCUUAGGGUGUAAAGCACUUUCAGCGAGGAGGAAAGGUUGCGGAUUAAUACUCUGUAGCUGUGACGUUACUCGCAGAAGAAGCACCGGCUAACUCCGUGCCAGC
rnacentral:rRNA from 1 species